CCUACGGGAGGCAGCAGUGGGGAAUCUUGCCCAAUGGGCGAAAGCCUGAGGCAGCGACGCCGCGUGAGGGAAGAAGGCCUUCGGGUUGUAAACCUCUUUCAGGAGGGACGAAGCUACUCGGGUUAAUAGCCCAGAGGGUGACGGUACUUCCAGAAGAAGCCCCGGCUAACUACGUGCCAGCAGCCGCGGUAAUACGUAGGGGGCAAGCGUUGUCCGGAUUUACUGGGCGUAAAGAGCGUGUAGGCGGCCGCACAGGUCCGUUGUGAAAACUGGAGGCUUAACCUCCAGACGUCGACGGAAACCGUGUGGCUAGAGUCCGGAAGAGGAGAGUGGAAUUCCUGGUGUAGCGGUGAAAUGCGCAGAUAUCAGGAAGAACACCAAUGGCGAAGGCAGCUCUCUGGGACGGUACUGACGCUGAGACGCGAAAGCGUGGGGAGCGAACAGGAUUAGAUACCCUGGUAGUCCACGCCGUAAACGAUGGGUGCUAGGUGUGGGAGGUGUCGACUCCUUCCGUGCCGUAGCUAACGCAUUAAGCACCCCGCCUGGGGAGUACGGCCGCAAGGCUAAAACUCAAAGGAAUUGACGGGGCCCCGCACAAGCAGCGGAGCAUGUGGUUUAAUUCGAUGCAACGCGAAGAACCUUAC
rnacentral:rRNA from 1 species